CCAGGGACGGGGGAGGAGAGGCAGAGAAGAAAGAGACGGAUGUCAGGUACACGCAUGAGCAGUCUACCGCGAUGGGCACCCGGGGCUCGCUCCGACUGGGGUUCCCCGACAGACUGCAGAGAUCGAC